CAGCAGCCGCGGUAGUACGGAGGGCGCGAGCGUUACCCGGAUUUACUGGGCGUAAAGGGCGUGUAGGCGGCCUGGGGCGUCCCAUGUGAAAGGCCACGGCUCAACCGUGGAGGAGCGUGGGAUACGCUCAGGCUAGAGGGUGGGAGAGGGUGGUGGAAUUCCCGGAGUAGCGGUGAAAUGCGCAGAUACCGGGAGGAACGCCGAUGGCGAAGGCAGCCACCUGGUCCACUUCUGACGCUGAGGCGCGAAAGCGUGGGGAGCAAACCGGAUUAGAUACCCCCGUAGUCCCUGUCUCUUAUAC
rnacentral:rRNA from 1 species